GCUCUGGACAACAGAACUUGAACACCAUCACCUAUGAAAUGUUAAAAUACAUAUCAAAAUCACCAUGCAGACACCAGAGUCCUGAGACUGUCAGAGAAUUUCUCACAGCAAUGAAAAGCCACAAGUUGACCAAGUAAAUAAAUCUCUUAAGUAGGAAGAGAGUGACACAUGGUGAAAUGAUAGUUGCUACAUUCGUAGCAACCAUGUAUUGAUAUUCAGCUGGGUUUGGAUUUAAAGGAGGAUGAUAGUAUUGUAGAUGAAACAACCGAAAGUUGGACAUAGGGACCCUUCCAGAGUAAGGAACAAAACUUAAUGGGGUUUUAAAAAUCUUUUCUUGGAGUCCCAGUUUGUAUGACCUAUUGCAUCACCCCCAUUCCCAGAAUUCAGACCAAAUUGGAUGAAAAGUAGAGUUUACAAGUUAAAGUAUUUUUUAUAAAGUUGAUCAAUGAA